GAUGAACGCUAGCGAUAGGCCUAACACAUGCAAGUCGAGGGGCAUCACAUGAAGUAGCAAUACGGAUGGUGGCGACCGGCGCACGGGUGAGUAACACGUAUGCAACCUGCCUUCAACAAGGGGAUAACCCGUUGAAAGACGGACUAAUACCCUAUAACACAGGGGUCCCGCAUGGGAAUAUUUGUUAAAGGACAACCGGUUGAAGAUGGGCAUGCGUUCCAUUAGCUAGUUGGCGGGGUAACGGCCCACCAAGGCAACGAUGGAUAGGGGAACUGAGAGGUUUAUCCCCCAACUGGUACUGAGACACGGACCAGACUCCUACGGGAGGCAGCAGUGAGGAAUAUUGGUCAAUGGACGCAAGUCUGAACCAGCCACGUCGCGUGAAGGAAGACGGCCCUACGGGUUGUAAACUUCUUUUGUAAGGGAAUAAAGUGUAGUACGCGUACUAUUUUGCAUGUACCUUACGAAUAAGGAUCGGCUAACU
rnacentral:rRNA from 1 species